rnacentral:rRNA from 1 species
GUGGGGAAUAUUGGACAAUGGGCGAAAGCCUGAUCCAGCCAUGCCGCGUGUGUGAAGAAGGUCUUCGGAUUGUAAAGCACUUUAAGUUGGGAGGAAGGGCAGUAAGUUAAUACCUUGCUGUUUUGACGUUACCGACAGAAUAAGCACCGGCUAACUUCGUGCCAGCAGCCGCGGUAAUACGAAGGGUGCAAGCGUUAAUCGGAAUUACUGGGCGUAAAGCGCGCGUAGGUGGUUUUGUAAGUUGGAGGUGAAAUCCCCGGGCUCAACCUGGGAACUGCCUCCAAAACUGCAUGACUAGAGUACGGUAGAGGGUAGUGGAAUUUCCUGUGUAGCGGUGAAAUGCGUAGAUAUAGGAAGGAACACCAGUGGCGAAGGCGACUACCUGGACUGAUACUGACACUGAGGUACGAAAGCGUGGGGAGCAAACAGGAUUAGAUACCCUUGUAGUCC